GCAGGCUUAACACAUGCAAGUCGAACGCUCCGCAAGGGGAGUGGCAGACGGGUGAGUAACGCGUGGGAACAUACCCUUCGGUUCGGAAUAACUUAGGGAAACUUGAGCUAAUACCGAAUACGGUCGAGAGGCGAAAGAUUUAUCGCCGGAGGAUUGGCCCGCGUCCGAUUAGCUAGUUGGUGAGGUAAUGGCUCACAAAGGCGACGAUCGGUAGCUGGUCUGAGAGGACGAUCAGCCACAUUGGGACUGAGACACGGCCCAAACUCCUACGGGAGGCAGCAGUGGGGAAUAUUGGACAAUGGGCGAAAGCCUGAUCCAGCCAUGCCGCGUGAGUGAUGACGGCCUUAGGGUUGUAAAGCUCUUUCAUCAGGGACGAUAAUGACGGUACCUGAAGAAGAAGCCCCGGCUAACUUCGUGCCAGCAGCCGCGGUAAUACGAAGGGGGCUAGCGUUGUUCGGAAUUACUGGGCGUAAAGCGCGUGUAGGCGGGUCUUUAAGUCAGGGGUGAAAUGCCAAGGCUCAACCUUGGAACUGCCUUUGAUACUGGAGAUCUUGAGUCCGGGAGAGGUGAGUGGAACUGCGAGUGUAGAGGUGAAAUUCGUAGAUAUUCGCAAGAACACCAGUGGCGAAGGCGGCUCACUGGCCCGGUACUGACGCUGAGAUGCGAAAGCGUGGGGAGCAAACAGGAUUAGAUACCCUGGUAGUCCACGCUGUAAACGAUGGAUGCUAGCCGUUAGGCAGCUUGCUGCUUAGUGGCGCAGUUUAACACUUUAAGCAUCCCGCCCUGGGGGAGUACGGUCGCAAGGAUUAA
rnacentral:rRNA from 1 species